rnacentral:rRNA from 1 species
UACGAAGGGGGCUAGCGUUGUUCGGAAUUACUGGGCGUAAAGCGCACGUAGGCGGUGUUCCAUGUCAGAGGUGAAAGCCUGGGGCUCAACUCCAGAAUUGCCUUUGAAACGGGGACGCUUGAGUCCGAGAGAGGGUGGCGGAAUUCCUAGUGUAGAGGUGAAAUUCGUAGAUAUUAGGAAGAACACCAGUGGCGAAGGCGGCCACCUGGCUCGGUACUGACGCUCAGGUUCGAAAGCGUGGGGAGCAAACAGG